ensembl:lincRNA
UUUGACUACACAUGAGGUUGCUGUAGAAACCGAGAAAAUUCUGGACAAAUGAUGAAAUAACGUUCUAGUCUGAAUUGUAUAGUCUCAUUUCGAAAGUAGAAAGUUAAUUAAACAACGAUAUUCGCAAACUAUAAAGACUGGUUAAGUUUCGGGUCCUUGUCAAAUGCAUCAUUCAUAUAUUGUUUCGAACAAUGUCGUGUUGUUUUUCAUUUAAAGUGUUGAAUGGCAUUUUUAGCGUUUUAAGAUACGAGCGGCACUGCAAAGUCAGGAACGCAGACACGGUGAAAGCUUUGCUUUUGGUUUUUAAAGACAAAAAAAAAACUGUCACGAAUUCCACGAUUGUUAAAUGUCGAGUUUCAAAAGCGAAAUGAGGUAAACCUCGAACGAAAGCAAAUUAUGUCGGCGAAUACUGCCGGGCAUUUCCCUUUAAAUUCAUACUCCAGGGCAUUCAGCGUGUCAAACUUUCCAAUAGCUCAUCGGUGCUUGUAAUAAGCCACUGCUGCCUCUCUGAGAAGGAGUUUUGAUGUUUGAUGUUGUGUUGUGACAUCCACUGAAGGAAACAAUGACACAGGCUUGGCUGCUAGGCUGCCUCCUGCUGUCGCUAUGCACUCUGUGCCUUACGGAAAGCUUUCAUCUGGAACUGGAGAUGGAGCAUGACUGGGACUGGGGGUCUGGACUGGAAAAUCUUCUCCACAGCUUCCCGGCCGACAGCCCUUUUGUGACCGAAACCCCCGAGAAACCGGUUAACUGCUCCCAGCGCUUCUGGCUGCCCCCGACCUCGCCCAUCUGUUGGGAGAACAUCGCUGGACCAGAGGAGUUUGAGCGAUCUCGCCUCCUGGUGCUGCAGAACCGGGCAGCUCUGAGGGCUGUGUCAGAGGCCAGCGGUGUGCAGGAGGGGGAAAGAUCCUACAAUCAGCAGGCCAGGGAGGAAGUCCUGGCCAUUCAGGCCGAUCACCUCAACAUUGUGCAGACGGCUGAGACAAUGCAGAAAGUCUUCCAGAAUCUGGAAGAAAAGAGGAAGGAAGGUACAGAGCUUUUGACCUUUUCAAGCUUUAAGGAGAGGAUCGGCACAACAAAGGAUUCUAUACAAGGACGGGAGCACCUGGCAGACUUGCUGGAGAGACAACUGGCCAGCCUGGAAGGGUCUAUUCACAUCCUGCAGCACAGGCUAGCCAAGUUACUGGCCUGAUGAUUUUGUGAGUCAGCCUGCAAGACAGCACCCUCUCUCCAGAUCAGCUUAGUAUAUCCAGAACAAAAACUUGAUUUGCUUGGCUGUAUGCCUAGAAAAGCAAAGGAAACCUGUUUUUACACAGUGUAUGGUAGCCUAUAGAACUUUUUUUUGUAUCUCAAUAUCCAUUCUUUGCAUGCUGACAGUCAUGUACUAAAUUCUCCAUCUACACAUAGCGUUCCUACUUGAAGUUCCUAGCAAUAAAAUCUAUUUUUAUACUUGUAACUUGCCGCCUUUAUUCCAUAGCACUUUUAUUCUUCUGCAGGAAUGAGGAUAUUCUAUGGUUAUUUUUAAUUUCCAGUUUUGUAUAGUACACGUACGUAU